rnacentral:lncRNA from 1 species
GGCUCCCGGACCCCGGUAGAACGCACGGUCGGCUCCUGCUCUGCCCCGCUCGGAUCAUGCGGGGGGCCCCGGAGGAGGAGAGGGCGAGUGACCGGCCUGCGGCGACCGCGUUCAGGGUGCGACCCCCUCUCUGAGAAGCCCCCACCUGCUGCCAUGUGCCUCGCCUCGGGUACCCAGCCUAUCGCCAAACUUUCCGGGUGCCAGCCCGUCUCUGAGUCGCAUUUCUGAGAGACUGCCCCAGGAACAGGAGACCCGGGCUGGCUGACGACUAUCUGCUUUUCAGGAUCCGCGAAGGUGAGAGCCCGCGCCUAACCCCUUUCUUUCCGUUCGUUUCCCGGUUCCUCCGCGCUUUUCCUGGCGGCUGAGCUCUCUGACCCCGGGGUACAGCCUAGAAGGCCCAGCGUUAAGGGAGGAGGGGCGUGGGGGUGGGCCGGGAGUCAGUAGUUUGGUUCCCGGAGGUGGAGGGGAGGGAAGGAAGAGACAUUAACUUGGAGAUUUGGAGAGCGCUUGCGGGGACUGAGCGGUUGACUCCCUUCUAACUGGGAGUGGUUGCAAUUUUUCUUCUCCCUCAGCUUCUUUUUUAAAGAGUACUUCUCCUGGAAUCGGAGCCCUAACCGUCCCUCCCCAGCCCUAUCUGGCGAAGAGCAGAGCGCUGCCUGCGGAGGCAGCGCCUUCCCGAAACAGUUUAUCUUUGGACGGAUUUAAGAGAAAAAGAAACCAACAGGUUGCCAGCCCCGGCGCCACACACGAGUCGGCGGAAAGGCCGGCCCGGUUUCCC